GGGCGCUUAGCUCAGUUGGCUAGAGCAUCUCGUUUACACCGAGAGGGUCGGGGGUUCGAGUCCCUCAGCGCCCAC
rnacentral:tRNA from 2 species